rnacentral:tRNA from 1 species
AGGGCUAUAGCUCAGUUGGGUAGAGCACCUCAUUUCCACCGAGAAAGUCUACGAUUCGAAUCCGUAUAGCCCUA